ACGGGAGGCAGCAGUGAGGAAUAUUGGUCAAUGGGCGGAAGCCUGAACCAGCCAAGUAGCGUGCAGGACGACGGCCCUAUGGGUUGUAAACUGCUUUUGUCAGGGAAUAAAAAGAGCCACGUGUGGCUUAUUGCAUGUAUCACAUGAAUAAGGACCGGCUAAUUCCGUGCCAGCAGCCGCGGUAAUACGGAAGGUCCGGGCGUUAUCCGGAUUUAUUGGGUUUAAAGGGAGCGUAGGCGGCCUUUUAAGCGUGUUGUGAAAUGUCCCGGCUCAACCGUGGCACUGCAGCGCGAACUGGAGGGCUUGAGUGCGCCGGAAGUAGGCGGAAUUCGUUGUGUAGCGGUGAAAUGCUUAGAUAUGACGAAGAACUCCGAUUGCGAAGGCAGCCUACUGUAGCGUUACUGACGCUAAAGCUCGAAAGUGUGGGUAUCGAACAGGAUUAGAUACCCUGGUA
rnacentral:rRNA from 1 species